AUCUCCACAUGGUUCCACUCAUUCUCUGAGAAUCUACCAUCCAUAUUGCAUUGUAGAUCACAAAAAAACUUUUGGUCCGUCUUUCUUUUUCUAUAAAACAUGUAUACACAUGAAGUAGAGAGUUGCUUAGUGCCAUUGAUGAGUACAUUCAACUUGAAAUCCAAAACCAUAUUGUCAAACGACUCUCCAGUUUCAAAAAAACAGCAUAGAGCUAUCCUGGGGAAUUUUUUCCGAAACCAAAGAUGCACUGACGGUUCGUUGCUUCUAACCUUAUCCAUAAUUACUCUCCUACGAUGAAUCGGGUGACAAAAGAGACUGUAACCCAUAUUUUUGAGUUUAUGCUCGUCUUGAUUCCACGAAGGACUACAUACUUCUAUGACAUUGUUGGAACUUACAUUAAGAGAAUACACAUUAAGGAAGGACUUCCCGUAUUCAUUAUAAACACACAUGGCAUUUGCAGACACUUUUGGACUCACUUUUGCUGCAUCAUUUGAUGAUCGAACUCCCCUACGAUGAUGCGAUGUUACUAUCUCAACUUUUGGCAAUACGUAGCUUGGUAUCUGAAUCAUCCUUUGGCAGCUCCUCAAGAACAAACGUUGGAGCCCAACAAGAUUUCCAAAUGUGAAAGGCAAUUGGUAUAGGUCAGUCUCAUCUAAAUAAACAUCUUUUAAAUUCUCCAUCACUCCUAGUACUUCUGGAAAGCUCGCAAGACGCGAGCAACCUCUAAGAUCUAAUUUCUCUAGAGAUGGCAAGUUCAUGCAGGGAACCAAACUUUCUAGUUGGAUGCAUCCUUUAGCACUUAAUAACACAAGUUUGUCAAGAAACCCAACUGAAUCAUGGAUUUUAAAUAAGUUAGUGCAGUAGUCAAGCCAUAAUGACUUCAAAUUUGGUACUCUAGAUAAGCUAGGUAUUUCAGUUAGGAACUUGCAGUCUUCAAAAUCAAGAAAGCUCAAUGUCUCAAAAACCUACACACACAAAAAUGGGAAAUCAAAUUCUUGGGUUACAACUGGACAUAAAUAUUAGUUUAAGGCCAACAAAACAUGCUCGGGUAUUACUUUUGUGUGUGAAAAGAAUACAUACAUUGAGUGAUUUGAACCGUUUAAGGCAACUGUCACGCAGGCUAUGUAUUACAAGAUUCUUGGGAUUAAAAUCAAAUGGUAAGGAGAAUGAUUCAUAUCCACUCCAAUCAAGCACUCUCAAACUAUUUGGAAGAAUUUGAGGAUCUAUGGAAAAUCCUGCGUUUCGAAUUAUUAGAAUUCUCAAGUUCUUCAUCUGCCCGAAGGCUUUUCCACACCAUUUCACUUUUCUGUCUUUGUGCAAGUUGGUGAUUAUGACUUCAAUUGUAUCAGUUCCCUAUGAUUUUUAAAUAACAAAUCAAACACAAAUUAAAUGUUGAGAAUUAAUCAUCUACUUAUUGUGUUGUAUUCAAAAACUUCUAAAUUAUAAAGUUCUUUUCAGGUAGUAGUAAUAAACUUCAUUAAACGUUUGUACAUGAAAAUUGAAAGCUAACAAUCCAAUAAACUAAUACAUACCAAUCUAAAUGUAUAAAUAUUCUCACUAUCAUACCUUGUUUUCUUCCAAAACAUGAAAAAUGUCAUCACUAAACCAUAAUCUACUGCGUCUUCCAGGCUCCAACGUUGAUUCCUGCCUCACAAUUUCUCUGCCCAUGCCUUGAAUCAAGUCAUGCAUUCUCACACAACUAUUGGCAUCAAUUUUAAUCAGAGAUUUGUCAGUUAGCACUUGUAUGCCAUCAUCCGCAUGAAAACCAUGUAAGUAUAGUAAUUCUUUGACAUAGCCUAUUUUAUAAGAAUUGAAGAAACAAGCUAUGUCUAGAAAAAUACCCUUCUCAUCUUCAUCCAAAUCAUCAUAGCUAACUUUAAGAAUUUCAUGGAUGUCUUUACGAAGGACUCUUUCAUAUUUAUCUAGCGAAGAUUUCCAUACAUCUAAACUUUUACCAAAGAAGCGAGAACCUAUCACCUCCAAAGCCAAGGGAAGACCAUGACAAUAAGAUACUGUGCGUUUUGCAAUAUCCACAUAACAUGGAUCAAUUUUUUUUAUUUUUAAAUGCAUGCAAACUAAAUAAUUCAAAAGCCUUUUCAUUUUUUAGCUCUUUAACCUUGUACACUUUCACAAUCCCAUGAGUUGCCAGCAAAUGCUUGUCUCUUGUAGUGAUGAUUAUCUUGGUGCCAAGUCCAAACCAAUCAUGUCCUCCUGCAAGUGCCCGUAAAUGCUCCACUUUGUCCACAUCAUCAAGAAUCAAAAGGACUUUCUUUCUUUGAAGCCUUCUUUUAAUUAUUGAAAUUCCUCUAUAAACAUCUCCCACUUUAAUAUCUUUCUCCCCAAGUAUUUCAGAAAGUAGUGUUUCUUGGAGAUGAGCUAGACCAUGAUUAAUCGCCCUCUCUCUUAUGCCAGCAAGAAAACACACACUUUCAAAUUGGUCAACAAUCAAGUUAUGCACAGCACGAGCAGUUGUUGAUUUGCCUAUUCCGCCGAUUCCAUAAAUGCCUACCGUGUUUGUUCUCUCAUCAGACCCAAGUCCUAGUAGAGAUGUCACUUCUAAUAUCCGAGACUCCACCCCAACUGGGUAGUUUGCAACAUGGAAAGGAAUACAUCUGAUCCUUAUAGAAACCUCUUCAACUAUCUUUCCAAUAAACUUAUAUUCUGAUUCAGACCUGCACAUACAUGUAAGUUGAAACAGAGUCAUUGAAUGUGCUCCAACCAAAAAUUAAUCUUAUAGCAAAUAAUUACUUCACAAUAUUACCUUUAACUAGAUUUAUAUAAUCCAUGCGAGAUUGCACGCACGAAUGUGGGGAAAAAUAAUGGAAAACAGAUGUUAUUAAACCUGAUUCAAAAUCCAUUUUUUUACUGAGAAUUAUAAUGUGAUUAAAAAAACCUGAAAAGUUAAAAAUAAUGAAAUUUAUAGUUGUACAAACAAAUGUAAGAUAAGGAUGGAAAAAAUAACAUGACCAACUUUUUUACAUUAGUGCUUGCUGAUUUUCUUUUUACACUUGAAAUAAAUUUGAUGAACCUUGACAGAGAAUACGAAAUUCCACCAUUUUCUUUUUGAUUCCUGUUGAAGGCUUUAAGAAGGAAAAUCAACUGAUCUUUCAUAUGGUAAACAAAAUAGAAAAGACUCAAAUAAAAAAUUCCAAAAUUACAUGCCUUUUCUGUUCUUAAUUAUGGUUAUAUCAUGGAAAAAGUCUACUAAAACAAUAUGUCAAACACUACAAACAAAGCAUAGUAAAAAAAUUGAACAUGUGAUUUAUCGUUGUCGGAGAGACAGUAUACAAUAAAAUCCAAAGCUACAAUUUUUAUUAGACUUUAGAUGAAUUGUAUAUUUCUUCAAUCAUACGAACACAUAUACAUUGGAAUAAUUAGAUAGAAUAAGAGAGGUAGAAUUUUUUUUAGAUACUAAAAUAUGCAAUAUAUGUAAGUUAUGUUGUCACCACCACAAAAGCGACCUUAAUAUUCUUGAAAAGAAUCUUGUCUUACUUGUAAUUAACACGAAACUAACAAUAAGAAGGACUACAUGAUUGCAACGAAGGACAUCAUGAUUUCUUGCCUAUGCAAUUGAAAAGAUUGUUGUCUGACCUAUGUUGGGGUGCCUUGUCUAUACUUGCUUACCUCUAGAUUUCUACAAAGACGCCAUGUUAAGAAGGUAGGGUAGAUGGUUGAAAAAAUAGAACACUAUAUAUAUACUAAAAGAAUUACAACAUUUGGUUUUCAAUUAGUGAAAUAAAUAUGUGAACUAAAAGGUUGGUGUGUAAUUAAAAUCUAAUAUGCAAAUGAAAGGUCUCAUAGAAAAAAUAAAUAGUGAACAUGCUCUUCAUUUUCAUAAUAAAAAAAGCUGCAUUCAAGUGAAAGAAAAAACUGUACCAUUAAUUUACGUUAUUUGUGACUUACCAAUUGUCAUUGAACCUCCAUCAUGCUUGGUUACUAACUUUUUUUUUUUAUUUAUAAUAUUGGUUACCAACUUCUAAUAUAGCCUUUUGGUUUAAUAUUUUUUUUCUUUUCAAAAUUGACACUAUAUGAAGAUCACUUGAUUUAAGACAUGAAUGAUUAGCUUUGAUAUCAUUUUAUACGUAAGUUCUGCUCUUUUUUUUUCCAAGGUAAAAUACAUGUGGGAAGUUAGUUUGUAAUUGGUAGAUGAAAAAAUAGAUAGUGGGAAGUUACAAAGUUCAAUUUGGCAAGUUACAUAAUAAAUAUAAGAAUGAAUUUUUUUUUGGUUACCUUUGAUUUUUUUUUUCUGGUUUAUAAGAAUGAAUAUAUAUAAAUAUUUAGUAAAGAGAAAACCACAUGGUGAAUGCUUAUAGAAAAUAAGUUAGAAAAUGGACAUUUGUGAGAUGACAUAUAAGCAAAGUGUAGCAUAGAAUAUAUAUAUAUAUAUAUACUAAGGCACGGGUUUGUUUAAAUUUUGUAACAUAAAUGAAAAGAAAAUGUUGGUCAUUUUUUAUUUUUAAAAUAAGAUUAUUUUUGCAAAGAUUUUUUUUAAUUUUGGAGUUGGGUUUGAUGAAGCAAAAGCGCAUUUGCAUGCUAUUAGAUGUAAAUUUACCUUGAUUUUAAGUAGUUAAGAAUUAGAGAUUAUAUGUUAAAGUUGUUUUAUGUCAUGAUUUAAAGGAAAACGUGAUUUACUGGCCGCCUAUCUAAAGAGACACUAACCAUAUUUAAAGAUUAAUGUGUCUGAGUGGAUAGAAAUGAAAAGAAUGAAAGUGUACAUGACAAUAAAAAAAUUAAAUAAAGAUUUAAGGUAAAAAACUUGGAUUUUACCUUGUAGGCCUAUAUUUUAAAGGUAAAAAAUUCAAAAUUACCAAUAACAUAUGUUCCAUCCUAAAAAGUUAGCAUAUAUUCUAUCAAAAUUAAAUAGUGACUUUUUUAAAAUAAAAAAAUACAAACACAUAAAAAGGGAGUUUUUUCACAUUAAAAAAAUAUAAAAGGAAUUGAAAAAAAAAACACAACUCAAACCCUAAAAACAUUAAAUUUUUUAAAUCAUAAAAUCCGUCUACCCAAUCUGAACUCUGCAUGUUAUGAUUGACAGUUUCCAAGGCUAAAUCAAUCCUUGAUCCGUAUUCACCAUCAUAAACGAUGUCGGCGGUGUUAUUGUCGUAGAUUGCUCUCUGUUGAUGUCGAGUGAACGAACCAUGGUUCCACUACAUAACUGUUGAGCACCGAGAAGUAGGUGAUCUCAACAUGUAAUCAUUGGUAAGAGCGAGAAAUCCAUCCCUUUUUUUAUGAAUCAUUUCCCUCUUCUUUUUUUUUCUUCAUUUGUGGGUUAUUUUUCGUUGAGCUCUCACUUGAAUCCAUUUCUGAGUUCGGCAACAAUUGUCCUCCCACUAUUGUUGUAUAGAUGGUGUUCCUUGUAGCUCAAUGAAGCUAUGCAUAUAACCCGUGCGUUGUAGAGAUUUCAAUAGAGUUAUGUAACUUUUUUUAGAUGUUAAACAUUAUGUCAGUGUUUUUUUCAAGAAGAAUUUUAAUUAGUUUACAAUAAAGUUAGUUAAAUAUUAAUAAGGAAAAAUGUGUCAUUUAUAUUGGUCUUGAUAUGAGAGCAAUAAGCACAAAGAGGCUUGAAUAUUAUUUCUUUUUUAGUAUAAAGGAUGGCCAUAUGCCCAAUUAUUUUUUUAAUCUUUCUUAUUUAACUAAUUUUGUAAAGGAUAAAACAUAUUAAGAAGUGUUACUUGAAAUUACUUUUGUUAUUAUAGUUAUUAGAUAGAAUAAGAAAGAGUGAGAAGUUAUAAGAUAUGUGAGAAGAUUUUUUUUAUAUGUGAGAAUGUUUUUUGAAAAAGGAAUUACACUUGAUGAACAUUAAAAUCCACUUCAAAAUUCAUCCAAGAGUUGUAUUAGGUAAUAGAGUUUUUGUUGGCUACUAUAUUAGAUAGAAUAAUAGUCGUGAAACUUGUUUAGUUCUUACACAUUAUGACAAUAUUUUCUGAAGAACAACCAAAUUUAGUUUACAAAGAAUUUAACUAAAUACUAAUAAAAAAAUGUGCAACAUAUAUUGGUCUUGAUAUGAGAACGAUAAGCUCAAAAAGCCUUCGAUAUUAAUUUUUUUAAUCUUUUUUUUAUAUCCUUUUUUUAAUUUAUUCAUUUACUCUUAUUAAAUUAAUUUAAUGAAUGGUAAAUAAUAACAACAAAUUUAUUAAGAAGGAAUGAUAAGUUUUGUAACUUAAAAUUGCUUGCAUUCUCAUAAUUAUUAGAUAGAUAUAUUAGAUAGAAUAAGAAAGGGUGAGAAGUUAUACUAUAUUGAAGAAUAUAUUUUUAGAGGUGGCACAUAUGCAUAAUUAUAACUUCAGAAUAAUGAAUGACUCAAGUUUAGUUUAUGGGAAGGUCUUGAGGUGCCACAUCAACAUCAUCACAAUUUUGUACCCAAAUUUACUUUUAAUUUUAAGAAACUCAAUUGAUGGAAAGUAUGAAUGUCAAUCAAUUCCAUAGUCAAGGGUUAAAUUUCCUUGUUGCCGCGUUCAAAUCAUCAAAACAUGACUUUGUCUCUCUAAUUUCAGAAAGAUCAAGAGCGUUUCAUUAGAGUUUUGAGUAGAUAUGUGAUUCUACGAUUAGUUACCGAGGCAUUGAUGCUUUUUUUUUUUUUAAAGAAGGCAUUCAUGCUAAUAACUCUUAUAAGAAACUAUUCAAUUAAAAACAUAACACACGGGCUUGGAAUGAAAAUGAAUAAAAAAUAUUACUUUUUUAAUGCAUUUUUAAUAUGUUCCCUUCCACUUCUUUAUUAGAUUCUUGAUCUUAUAACAAUGUUAAAUAAAAAAUAAAAAAUAAAAACUUUAAUUUCAAUGAAAACAACCACCUUUUCAUAUAUGAAGUGCACUCUCAACAAAACCCUCCAUUUUCUCAAAACUUAUGUAUGUGAAAUCAAAGAAAGGAUAUUCAUUAGAGAAAACAAAAAAUUAUAGAAAUAGACAUAUACGAAGCUUGAACAGAAAAUCAGAACUAUCAAAAAAUGAAAUGGAAGAAGAAAAUGAGAAGCUUUGUAGUAAACUUGUGUGUGUAAGAGGAUAGAAUAAAAAUAUAUUAUAAUGCAUUCAUUGUACAACUUGCAUGAAGUGAAGUAAAUGCAGUGCUUUUGCAAAAAGAAAAUAAAUAUAGACAUAAGCAAUUAUCAUUACAUUUCAUAACGUUUCAUUAACUAAUUAAAAGUAACUUUUUAGUUUUUUUUAAUUUUUUCUUCUUCAGAAAUAUAAACUAUUUGGUCAACCUAAAAGUAACUUGAGUCUCUAUUAAGUCAUAAAACCAAUGAAUAGCCAAGAGAUGAUAAGUAAAAAAUAGAAAAGAAAUAUAAUACCAAAUUGAAAGGUACCAUCCAAUAUUUUCUUAGAAAAAUUAAUGAUGAACAACCAUUUUUUAUAAACUUCUUCAUGAGUAACAACAGUGCAACAAAAUAAAAAAUAGAAUAAUUAUCUAUCCUAUUUUCCUAAUGCACAUAAAAAAUUUCCACAUACACAUUAAGGAAUAAAAGAAAAUAUAAAAGAAAGUUGGAAAAAUAGACUAACAAACAUUAUAUAAAAAAAAUAUAGCUUAAAUAUUUGACCAAUCUAAAAGUAAUUUGACUCCCUAUCAUGCCAAAGAAACAAUUAAUAAUCAAGAGAUGAAGAGUUAAAAUGAGUGGAAAAAACAGUAAUACAAUAUUGAAGAUGAACUAACCAAUUGUUGCUUGAAUGUGGUGAUGAACAAAACCCAAAAUUUGGUGCACAAAAUCACAUAUUUAUACACACAAUGUUUCUCAAUGACAUGAUAGUAAAAAACAUGAUAUAAGAUUAGAACAUUUAGAUAGCAUGGUAGAGGAAAAGUGUAGAAAGAUGGUUUGGUGUUAUUGACAUCAAUAGUAGACAUGGUGGAAAAGUCAAGAAAAAAUGAGGUAAAUGAUAAAAUUGAUCAUCAAAUAUUACAGAAUGAGCAGAAAAGGAAUGAGAUUUGCGUUGGUUAUCAUAUAGGUGAAAGGGAAAAAGGGAAAUAUGGAUGAGCUAAAAUGUAACAUCUUUUUAACCUUUAUGUGGAAGAAUGUAAACAGACAAAUUCAAUGGAGAUGGUGUAAAUAUUAUAACAAAUAAUCAAUGUUUUUAAAAAAUAGUAGUUGAAGGGGUUAUAAGAAUGAAGGAUGUAAAAGUUCUUUCUUAUUAAGAUUGCAAUUGAUUAGUGUAACUCUUUUUAUCAAAAUUAUUAUGUAUAAUGGCUUGAAGUGACACAUAAGCAAAGUAGUAGAAUGAUCAAGAAUAAAAGUUAGAAAGAGGAUCAUUGGUGAAGUGACAUGUAAGCAAAAUGUAGGUUAGAAUACAUGUAUAAUAUAUAUAUAUAUAUAUAUAUAUAUAUAUAUAGAGAGAGAGAGAGAGAUAGAGAUGUCUAUGUCUACACAUUUGACGAUUUAUUGUAGGCACUACUUUUGUUUUGGUACUAGCCACUACUCACACAUUGUACUAUUGAUUGAUGAAAAAUAAUAAUUAGUAGACUGAUCAGUUGUAAUUUUUAUUACUUAUUAUUGUCUUAUUUUGCGAUCAUUGUCUAUAUAAAUAUGUGAUUUAGGAUCAUCUUUAUUUUCUCGAAGAAAUUCUUAGGGGGUAUUUUUCAAUGUAUAUUGUGAGAGUUAACUUAAAAUUAGGUUUUUACAGAAUCGUGGCACGAUUGAAGCGCAAACGUGGCACGAUGGAUGUUUUAGUUUUUUAGGCAAGGUACUGGAAAAAUCGUGGCACGAUGGGGUCGCAUCGUGGUACGAUGGUGCGCUGGCAGAUAAAAAUAAAACGUAUUUUUGGGUGCAAAUUUGUUACAGAUUUUAAGCAGAUUUGUUACAGAUUUUAAGCGAAACUUUUACUAUAAAUAUAGACCUUUUAUCAGAGCAGAGAGAGAGAGAUAGAGUGUUGAUUCACCUUGGAAACACUAUUAGGGUUGAGUCUCUUGGUUACGGGAAGAGAUUGGGGCUUUGGGUAGAAUUAGGCGGGAGACUUAUUCUUGUAACCCAUUGAUUUGUCUUUGAAACGUUACUCAUCAUAUAGUGGAUCGGAGGGCUGCUCUCUCCCCCAGACUAGGUCAAUUUGGACCGAACUGGGUCAACAAAUUCUUUUGUGUUCUCUAUUCUUUUUCUUCUUGCUGUUGUUGUUUUCUACUUUUGGCUUGUGAUUAUAACUGUUCCAUACACUUUGUUUGGUUGCUUGUUUAUCCCUUGCUCCACACAUCAAGUUGUUAUUGGUGUGAUUUUUCUCGUCGAAUUCGCAACAAUUGGCGCUCACCGUGGGGCAAGGGUCAAAGGAUAAUUAAGUACCAUGGGUUCAAAGUGGGAUAUUGAGAAGUUUACCGGUAAUAACGAUUUUGGGUUAUGGAAGGUAAAGAUGGAAGUGGUGUUAAUUGAUAGAUAAUUGGCAAGUGUACCAAUAACUAUCGAAGUAGUAAUAAAUAUCGUUCCACAAGGACUGUAUUAAUUCCAAUUAUAGCAGGUACGUUAUUAAUUUAGGAUAUGUAAAAGUCAUAUUGAUUGCCCUAGGCAGAUGAUUUUUCGUAUACAAAAAAGCAAAUAAAGAUUGUUUGCAAAGAUGAUUGAGAAGAAUGAUUAAGCCGAUGAAUCCCCUACUGUUCUAUAUGAGUAAUUACCUCCCUUAUUUACUUAUUACUAUUCAUUCUUUACGACGAAUUAACAAAUUGGUUUUGAUCAAUCUCUUGAAUCAAAACCCUUUCCUAAGUUAUAACCUUUUAAUCUCUUAAACCGAUUGAAUAACUGCGGAAGCGAUAAAUAACGUUAAUUCAUAUGUCAUGAUUCUCAAUUUCCUAUCUCUAGGUUCCUAUGUUGAAUCAAACAGAAUUACUAAUUCAGGAUUAAAAGCUAGGGUUAAGAGUCAUUCAAUUCCUAAUAUCAAUUCAUAUAAUUCAAGAAGCUAGGGUUAAUAGUCAUCCGAGCAAUUAUAUGAAAAGCAAUGAACACAAAUAAUUCUGAAUAAAGACUGAAUAAUAUUAUUAAAUAAGAGAGUAUCAACUACUAAUUCAUAUAUUACAACGGUUCAUCAUGGCUCAAUCAUACCGAGAGUUUAGCUACUCAUGGUUUUACGAUUAAUAACAUAAUUGACAGUGAACAUACAUAAUCAGGACCAACUAUGAGUUGGUAUGAGAUUCAGGGCUUGUCCUUCGGUCUUCUGAUGUCCUCUAUGCUCAAAAUCGUACUUCCCCCCGCAAACCCUAAUCCGUGGCCGCAUCUAGCCUUAUAUAGAAAGAUUUUACGAGUUCCAGAAAGCCCAUCAUCGUGCCACGAUACGAUCCAAUCGUGGCACGAUAGCAUCAUUAAUCCUACGUGGCAGCAGACAAAACCUAGCAUCGUGGAACGUUGCGAUUUACUUCGUGCCACGAAAUUUCCAGUGCUGAACCUUUGUCCCACGUUCACUUAUCGUGCCACGAACCAGCUUCAUCGUGGCACGAUUCUAUAUUCUUAGGAAUUUUCCAUCUUUUUCUCAGUUCCGUCUUUUGAGCUCCUGUUCCUGUUUUGAUAUGAUUUCACCAUGAUUUACAAAUAGUUGACUCUCUUAAUGUCCUAAAAAUGACAAAACAUAACUAAAAGCUAGUGUUGAUGCAACAUCAUCACAACCCCAAACUUAAACUAUUCUUUGUCCUCAAGGAAUGAAAUUGCAAAUGGAAAAAUUGCAGUAAUAUAACAGAUUACCAACCAAUGACAUGUUCAAAAGUUCACGCCUUUCCGGUGUAAUGAUAUACCGGAUGCCUAGCUCAUACCACAAUUUCCACAACUCCACGCAAAUGUUUGAAUAGGUACUCUCAAUCAUCAUGCAGGUCCGCUGUAUUACCAUAAGCUUGAAACAUUUCUAAACUGUCAAUCAAAGUCAAAAUUAAGUACACACUUUAAAGGUCUUUUCGGGGUUAUAACGGGGCUUAGGUGGAAGGUGGAUUUAUUUUGGAAAGUAGUUUGACAACAAUGAAGUUAAGCUCAUCCUACUUGGAUCACUGAGAACACACCACACUAAUCUCCUUUACAACUUUAAAACAAGAGAAUACUAGAGAACUUUUCUAUUUUUUCGAGACAUAUAGAUCUUUUUGGUCUCUGAACAAUUUCCUUCUUUUUUUUUUUUUUCUGCACAUGUAACAAGUGCCUUGCUAUUUUCUCUCUUUUUUUUUUUUUUUUUUUUUUUUUUAAAUAUGGUUUUAUCUUUGUUCUCUAGUAUCCCCUACCCCAAACUUAAUAAGUUGCUAAUACCAGAAGCAACCCCAAACUUGCACAUUUCACACAACCUAAAAGCUUAACUUCAAAGAAAAUCUUGGGCAUUCUUCCUAAGGCUUCUAGGUUUGUAACAUGGCUCGUCACCGAAAAGAAAAAAGAUCUAUACCUAAAGGCUCAAAUUGGCUUAACAAAGGGUAUUUGAACAAUUAUAUCAAGGUAGGCUCAAAAAGGCUCGAGGUACCAAGCACUUGCCUUAGUGUGUACAAAACAAUGACCAAUCAACACAUAGAGCAAUAUCUCAAGUUCUAGAAACAGCAGUUGCAUGGAACACUCAUAUAUGUAAAAUUGAAAAAAAAUAAAAAUGUGGCCAUGAACCUUACAAGUUGAGGUAUCUGGAAGUUGUGGUGACCUAAUUCCUUGCUGUACACUUCCCUUUGACAUAUUAGGCAUCAUCCUCCUUUGAACUUUUGAGAUAUCAUUGGUACAGCAUUGUUAUGAGACUGAUAAGUUUCCAAAAACAAACAGAUUCAUUAAUAAUAAACAAAGAAAAACAUACAAGCUUAAGGAUUAAACAAGUGAUGCAUCUACCCAAUGUCUGCAAAAAUUAAAAAGUUCAUAGAAAUAAAGAAAGCUGAAAAGGCAAUCAUAAACUCCAAAACCCAUCACUGCUCAUCCUCAGAGUUUCCUUCAAUGUCAGCAUAGAAUUGACUAGCCCUCUGCUCACUUGCUGCCUUCCCUCGUCCGUAGUCAGCUCUGACACGCUGCUCCCUAGCUUGAGCUCGUCCUCUUUGAUCAACAAAAUAGGUCUCCAUGGCCUCUUCGGUACUAAAUCUCUCAAAUGCAUUUCCUUGGAGAGGCAUCUGACGGUGCUGAUCAGCAGCAAGAGAAAGUUCCGCUCCAAAAUAAGGCCCGUUCACAUAAAGCUCGGAUGAAGUGUCUUGUGCCCAGUUAGCCAUACCACAUAUGUAAUCGUGCAACAUUGGGUGUAGUGGUGGGUGUUGUGGUGCAUCCUCUUGCAUAGGCUGAACCUGCUGAGGUUCACGACGACCUUGCCUAGCUAACUCCCUCUCAAACUUUGUCAUAGCUGUAUCAUCAAUGUCUCCUUUAGAAUUAAACAUUAUGUCCCCUCGUUCCACCGGAACCUCCUUAGCUUGACACAAUGCAUUAAUUAGGCAGCAAUGACCCAAAGUCACAGAAGAGCCACAAUUAGCCAUUUGUUGAAUACUCAUGUUAAGCAGACGCCCCACAUUGAUUCCAUGGCCAAAAAUGAUAGCUUCCAAGAUAUACAAUCUCUCCAUGGGUAACUCAGAUGUAGCAGAUACACUUUCUAAGGUAGAAUGAAUGAAAGAAGCCCAUGCCUUGUACUCCGGUUUCAGAUCCACCACAUUCAUCCUAGUUGGAAAACCUGUUGCUCGUGAACGCACAUAAUCAACCCCUUGUUUCCCAAUUUCAGCCAAAAUUUGAGCCAACUCGUCAUCAGUAGGAAAAUUCCUAAUGCUUCUGGAUCUCCUCCAUUCGACAUGACACUCUGCUGGCUCCCUUAAACCCAACAAUUCAUUGAUUACUUCAGGACUGUAAUCAACCCUUUUACCUCUAACAACAGCCUUAUCAUCUUCCUUACCGUAAGCAUUAGCAAAGAAUUCAAGUGCUAUUGUACGGUUGCUUUCUUUGACCACCAUCCUGUUGAACCCUUUCCACCCUAAAGCAGUAAACUUCGUUUCAAACUGAGGAUACCUUUGCAAAUUGAUAAAAUCAAACUUCCUUUCGCCUGCAAACUUGUACCCCUUAAUUUUUUCAAACCGUUCUUCGCAUUGUGGAUCAGAAAAUUUCUCAUAGCCGGGUUGCUGUGUUGGUUGGGUUGAUUGGGUGUUGCGGGAUCCUCUGGUGCGUUUGGUGGAAGCCAUUUGUGGGGUUUGGGUAGGUUUGAGGAAAAUUGGUGGAUGAAUUUAUGGAUUUGUGGAGUUAGGGUUUGGCUUGAUUUAUGGUGAAAGAUGAAUUGUUUGUGAAAUUGAUAGGUUAUAUAAGGUCGGUAAUGAAGUUAAGGUGAGGAAUUGGUGAUGGGGCGAAAUUUGUGAGGAAAAUUGAAAAUUUUGGCAGAGUUUUGGUAGGGGAGAUUGGUUUGAAUGAGAAAUUUCGUGGAAUGAAUUUAUAGAGGCCAGAAAUCGUGCCACGAUACGGAUAUGUCGUGCCACGAUACCUUCUGUAACGGUCAAAAAUGUUUGAAAUUCCCAGUUCCGUGCCACGAUCAUAUACCCUUCGUACCACGAUCUUAGUUCUUCCAGCAAACGUGCCACGAUUUGAGAAAUUUCGUGCCACGAUAUUUCCAGUGGCUCUCCUCUUUUGGGAAGUUCUCAAAUCGUGCCACGAUGGACUUGACUUAGAGAAAAAAAAUUCUUUUCAACUUCUAAAAAAAAUAAAUUUUUUUUUUUUUUUUUUUUUUUAUAAAAGAAAUUGCCGUAAUUAAAUACAAAAGUAAAUAGAAAGAACUACCUGCGCGGAUCUAAGUCCGAUGGGUUGCCUCCCAUAAAGCGCUUCUUUAUCGUCACUAGCUUGACUUAUGACGACCCUAAGGAUCAUUCAGCACCACUCCCCCUUUGUUUGUAGGGAGUUCACCUCCGAGGUAUGGUUUUAUCCUCUGAGCAUUAACCUUAAAUGUCCCUGGUUCUCCAGGUUUACUCAGCUCCACAGCUCCAUAAGGAGAUAUACUCUCGAUCAUAAAUGGUCCAGACCACUUGGAUUUUAAUUUCCCGGGAAAUAGCUUCAACCUGGAAUUAAACAGCAAAACAAGUUGUCCAACAUAAAACUCUCUCCUCACCAGACCCUUGUCAUGAUACCUCUUAGUUCUCUCUUUGUAAAUGACGGCGUUCUCAUACGCACCAAGUCUCAUUUCUUCUAACUCAUUGAGUUUCAAGAGUCUUUUCUUACCAGCUAGAGUUUGAUCGAAAUUAAGGGCUUUGAUGGCCCAAUAAGCUUUGUGCUCUAACUCUACUGGCAGAUGACACGCCUUGCCAAAGACCAAUUGAUAAGGUGACAACCCAAGAUGCGUUUUAAACGCAGUCCUAUAAGCCCAAAGAGCGUCGUCUAACUUCCUAGACCAAUCUUUCCUAGAAGACGCUACAGUUUUCUCCAAAAUUUGUUUCAAUUGACGGUUGGACACCUCUACUUGACCACUAGUUUGAGGGUGGUAGGGAGUUGCAACUUUAUGUUUAAUGUUGUACUUUUUAAGCACCGUUUCAAGAAAGUUGUUACAAAAGUGCUUCCCCCCAUCACUGAUCAAGACUCUAGGUGUUCCAAACCUAGUGAAAAUAUUUUUCCUUAAAAAAUUGACAACUGUCUUGGAAUCAUUAGCAACACAUGGUAUUGCUUCAACCCAUUUGGUGACGUAGUCAACACACACAAGUAUAUGGAGAUAAGAGGAAGAGGGAGGGAAGGGUCCCAUAAAAUCAAUGCCCCAACAGUCAAAUGGUUCAACUUCAAUGAUUCCCGUUAGGGGCAUCUCAUUCCUCUUAGAAAUACUACCUGUUCUUUGGCAAUUGUCACACCGCCUCACAAAAUCAUGGCAAUCCUUGAAAAGAGUAGGCCACCAGAACCCGCUUUGCAAGACUUUCGCAGCGGUUCGUUCGCCGCUAUGGUGGCCCCCAUAGGCUGAGCUAUGGCAAUGCCACACAAUGUUUUUGAUCUCUUCACCUGCAACACAACGUCUAAUCAAACCGUCAGUGCCUACCUUGAACAGAUAAGGAUCAUCCCACAAAUAGUGGUUUGCAUCCUUGAAAAACUUUUUCCUUUGAUGUUGCGCCAUGUCAUCCGGAAUUAUGUUCCCGGCCUUGAAAUUUGCCAUGUCGGCAAACCACGGUCUUUCUCUUAUUGCAAAAAGCUGCUCAUCCGGAAAUUCAGCCAUGAUGGCCCCUUCUUUCUUUGUCACCUCGUUGUUUUCAAGCCUUGAGAGGUGGUCAGCCACCACAUUUUCUACUCCCUUCUUGUCACGAAUCUCAAGAUCAAAUUCUUGCAACAAAAGGACCCACCUCAAAAGUCGAGGUUUGGAAUCCCCUUUUGUCAGGAGAUACUUAAGAGCUGCAUGAUCUGUAAAAACAAUGACUUUGGAGCCUAUUAAAUAAGAACGAAAUUUUUCCAACGCAAAUAUUACCGCAAGCAACUCUUUUUCAGUUGUUGAAUAGUUUACUUGACUUUCAUUUAAAACCUUGCUUGCAUAGUAAAUUGCAUGGAAAAAUUUGUUCUUGCGUUGGCCUAGGACUGCACCAACAGCAUAAUCACUUGCAUCACACAUAAGUUCAAAGUGUAAAUCCCAAUUUGGUGCAAUGAUUAUUGGUGCAGUCACCAACUUGUUUUUAAUCAAAGAAAAAGCAUUUAAACAUUCAACAUCAAAAUCAAACUCAGUUUCUUUAACUAAAAGGUUACAGAGGGGCUUGGCUAUUUUUGAAAAAUCCUUUAUAAACCGCCGAUAAAACCCGGCAUGCCCCAAAAAACUCCUUACCCCCUUAACAUUCAUAGGUGGAGGAAGUUUUUCUAUAACCUCUAUCUUAGCUUGAUCCACCUCUAUGCCUUUAGAACUUAUUUUAUGACCCAAAACUAUACCUUCAGUUACCAUAAAAUGACAUCUUUUAAGGACAGCAUUGAGAUGAAACAAGCAUUGAUCAAACGACUUACCAAAUACAGAGAAAUCGUCCAUAAAUACCUCAAUGUUCUUCUCUAUCAUGUCAGAGAAGAUGGAGAGCAUGCACCGUUGAAAGGUUGCCGGUGCACCACAUAACCCGAAGGGCAUUCUCCUAUAAGCAAACACACCGAAUGGACAAGUAAAGGCAGUCUUCUCUUGAUCUUCUGGGGCCACCGCUAUCUGAUUAUACCCCGAAUACCCAUCCAAGAAACAGUAAAAGGCUUGGCCAGCCAACCUUUCAAUCAUUUGAUCCAUGAAUGGAAAUGGAAAGUGAUCUUUUCUUGUUGCGGUGUUCAACCUCCGGUAGUCUAUGCACAUUCUCCAACCAGUGACAGUACGGGUGGGUAUUAACUCAUUUUUUUCAUUUACCACCACCGUCAUUCCACCUUUUUUUGGUACAACAUGAACAGGACUCACCCAUGAGCUAUCAGAGAUAGGGUAAAUCAUACCUGCAUCCAGUAAUUUUAGCACUUCCUUUUUGACCACUUCUUUCAUGGUUGGGUUCAGUCUUCUUUGAGGUUGAACAACUGGUUUGUAUUCAGCCUCCAUGUGGAUUCUAUGCAUACAAUAAGCUGGACUAAUACCCUUCAAAUCAGAAAUCUUCCAACCUAAAGCUCCUUCAUUUUCUCUUAGCACCCUCAUCAAUUUUUCUUCCUCCAAAGGUGUCAAGGUGCUGCUGAUGAUUGCAGGUUUUGAAACAUCCUUGCUAAGAAAGACAUAUUUUAAGUGAGAAGGAAGUUCUUUUAAUUCUGGAAUUUUUUCUUCCUCAUUGCUCAAUGAUUUCGCCCCCAACUUCCCUUCAUUACCCAUUUCUUCGAGUUUGGUGGGUUUAAGCAGCUGCUCAUUUGCUUCAAGUUGCUUAACACAUUCUUGCACCUCAAGAUCUUCGACAAGUUCACAAUUCUCUAUAGAAUUAACAAUUGUCUCUUCCAAAGGGUGUGUUGGUUUGUGUUCACGAGAAUUGUCUUCAACUAUUUCAUCAAUCACAUCAAUCCUGUAGCACUUAGGAUUUUCAGCUCGGUGUUUCAUUGCUUCAAAAAUGUUAAAAACCACUUGUUCAUUAUGGAAUCUCAACAUUAGCUGCCCCAUUUCAACAUCAAUCAAAGCACGGCCUGUUGCAAGGAAUGGUCUUCCUAGAAUAAGAGGCAUAUCUUCAUCUUCAGCUAUAUCCAAGAUUACAAAGUCAGCAGGAAAUAUUAGAUCGUUCACUUUAACUAGCACGUCUUCAAGCACACCAAACGGAUAGGAGAUUGACCGAUCAGCUAAAGUGAGAGUCAUUCUUGUAGGUUUUGGCUCCCCACCUCCAAGCUUCUUCAUCAUUGAAAGGGGCAUCAAAUUGAUGCUUGCCCCUAAAUCACAUAAAGCUCUUCCAAUGUCUACCGGCCCAAUGGAGCAAGGAAUAGUGAAAGCACCAGGAUCUUUAAGCUUAGGAGGAAGUUUCCUUUGGAGAAUGGCACUACAAUUCUCGGAAAGAGAGAUAUUCUCAUCAUCUUUUGGUUUUCUUCUCCCCGUUAACAUUUCUUUCAUGAAUUUAGCAUACACCGGCAUUUGAUCAAGAGCGUCACCAAAAGGAAUAUUCACCUGAAGUUGUGAGAAGAGUUGCAUGAAUUUCUUGAAUUGUCCUUCCUCCUUCUUCUUCUUUUUGGCUAGAUGAGGGUAGGGGAGCUUCACAUAAGAUGGGAUAAUUUGUGGUUCAUCCCCAUCCUUCAAAAUUUGGCUCUUAGACUUUCUUAAGAUCGAGUCUUCAUCUAUUAACCUCUCAUUUUUUUCUCCCUCUGUUUUUUUCUUCUUUUCAUUUUCAACUACACCUUGAUCACUCUCUUUUUCAACUACUUCCUCAUCUUCAAUAUUUUCAUCUACCUCCACAACACUUUCAUCAACUUUAUUGGGAACCUUUGGAACUAAAGGUGCCAAAACCUUUUUACUCCUCAACUCAAUAACAUUGCAAGUUUCAUUUUUAGGGUUCUCUUGAGUAUUUCCCGAGAAUCCCCCUUUGUUCUGUUCAGCCAACUGCUUAGCUAAUUGCCCAAGUUGUGUUUCAAGCAUUUUCCGUGAGGCUUCAUUGUUCUUCCUUUCAAGGUCUUGACUCUUCUUCAUUUCUUCAAAGUUACUUUGAGUCAUUUUCAUGAAAUUCAUCAUUGUUUCCUCAAUACCUGGAGGCUUCCUUGGUUGUUGUUGUUGUUGUGGAUUAGGAAACAAGGGAUUUAAGGUGUUGUUGUUGGAGUAACUCAAGUUAGGGUGCUUAUUCAUGGAGUAAGGGUUUUGCCUUUGAUAGUUCACAUAGUUGGCUUCUUCACUAGCUUCCUCUGGCACACACUCACCAUUAGGAUGGCCUUCACCACACAAAUCACACCGUACUGCAGCUGCUUGUUGUUUGUUGGACAAUUGAUAAGCAUGUACCUCCUUAGUUAAAAUUUCGAUUUGCUUAUUCAUGGCUGCUUGGUUAGCUAGUAUGGAAGUAGUGUCACUCACCCCAAAAACACCUCUUUCUUUCUUUUUCGUUUCAGCACGGUACUCAUUGCUGGCCAUGUUUUCAAUCAGAAUUUGAACUUCGUGAUCAGUUUUUACCCUUAAACUACCUCCAGCCGAGGCAUCUAGAAACAUUCUGUUGCUAUGAGUUAAUCCUUCAGUGAAGAAUUGGAGGUACUGUUUCUCAGAAAACUCAUGUCCUGGACAUCUCUUCAGAAGCAAAUUGAACCUUUCCCAAGCAUCAUAAAGUGAUUCACCUUCACCUUGCCGGAAGCUUGCUAUUUCUUGCUUCUUAUCCAAGUACUUGGACAUAGGGAAAUACUUCUCUAUAAACUUAAGCUCUAAUUCCUCCCAUGUUUGAAUAGUCCCAUUAGGCAAAGUCAAUAACCAGUCUUUAGCUUUACCAAUUAAAGUGAACGGGAAAAGCCUGAGUUUCUUUUGGUCUUCAUUAACAUUUGCUGGAGGAACACAAAACUCACAAGUUUCAGCAAAGUGGCUUAGAUGUUCAUGAGGGCUGAUGGUCCCAGUACCAUCAAACUGUCUUUCCUUCAAUCCAUUCUGAACGGAUGCCUUGAUUUCAAAAGCAACAGGAUUAGCCGGUCUGAACACGUGAGUUAGGCGACCACGGUGAUUUGCUAACCCGUAAUCUCCCAACUUAGGCCUUGCUGGUGGUGGGUCUCCCUCUUCCAUUGUGAUUACCGGAGGAGGGGUGGUUGUUUCAGUUUCAAUAAGUGUCGGAUCUGGUAUAGGUGUGCGUGUACCCGGUGGAACUGACCUUGACACCCGGACAGCUUUCCGGUUAGCUCGUGCAGUCUUUUCAAUUUCAGGAUCGUACUCGAGGUCUUCGGAAUUACGUCUACCUCGCAUAAACAGCAAAAUACCUCAGUAGCACUGCACAAUACAAAAUAAUUAAUGAAUACUGAAACAAGAGAUAAAAAAUUUUAACAGAAAAUAAAUUGCAGAAAUCCUAAUGAAAAAAACGCAAUUGCCUUGUUGAAAUAAAUCAACAGUCCCCGGCAGCGGCGCCAAAAACUUGAUAGAUAAUUGGCAAGUGUACCAAUAACUAUCGAAGUAGUAAUAAAUAUCGUUCCACAAGGACUGUAUUAAUUCCAAUUAUAGCAGGUACGUUAUUAAUUUAGGAUAUGUAAAAGUCAUAUUGAUUGCCCUAGGCAGAUGAUUUUUCGUAUACAAAAAAGCAAAUAAAGAUUGUUUGCAAAGAUGAUUGAGAAGAAUGAUUAAGCCGAUGAAUCCCCUACUGUUCUAUAUGAGUAAUUACCUCCCUUAUUUACUUAUUACUAUUCAUUCUUUACGACGAAUUAACAAAUUGGUUUUGAUCAAUCUCUUGAAUCAAAACCCUUUCCUAAGUUAUAACCUUUUAAUCUCUUAAACCGAUUGAAUAACUGCGGAAGCGAUAAAUAACGUUAAUUCAUAUGUCAUGAUUCUCAAUUUCCUAUCUCUAGGUUCCUAUGUUGAAUCAAACAGAAUUACUAAUUCAGGAUUAAAAGCUAGGGUUAAGAGUCAUUCAAUUCCUAAUAUCAAUUCAUAUAAUUUAAGAAGCUAGGGUUAAUAGUCAUCCGAGCAAUUAUAUGAAAAGCAAUGAACACAAAUAAUUCUGAAUAAAGACUGAAUAAUAUUAUUAAAUAAGAGAGUAUCAACUACUAAUUCAUAUAUUACAACGGUUCAUCAUGGCUCAAUCAUACCGAGAGUUUAGCUACUCAUGGUUUUACGAUUAAUAACAUAAUUGACAGUGAACAUACAUAAUCAGGACCAACUAUGAGUUGGUAUGAGAUUCAGGGCUUGUCCUUCGGUCUUCUGAUGUCCUCUAUGCUCAAAAUCGUACUUCCCCCCGCAAACCCUAAUCCGUGGCCGCAUCUAGCCUUAUAUAGAAAGAUUUUACGAGUUCCAGAAAGCCCAUCAUCGUGCCACGAUACGAUCCAAUCGUGGCACGAUAGCAUCAUUAAUCCUACGUGGCAGCAGACAAAACCUAGCAUCGUGGCACGUUGCGAUUUGCUUCGUGCCACGAAAUUUCCAGUGCUGAACCUUUGUCCCACGUUCACUUAUCGUGCCACGAACCAGCUUCAUCGUGGCACGAUUCUAUAUUCUUAGGAAUUUUCCAUCUUUUUCUCAGUUCGGUCUUUUGAGCUCCUGUUCCUGUUUUGAUCUGAUUUCACCAUGAUUUACAAAUAGUUGACUCUCUUAAUGUCCUAAAAAUGACAAAACAUAACUAAAAGCUAGUGUUGAUGCAACAUCAUCAUUAAUACAACAAAAGUGUGAGAAAGCUUUGAAGGGUGAAGGUUCGUUACCGGUCACCAUGUCACAAGCAGAGAAGACCGAGAUGGUGGACAAGGCCAGGAGUGCCAUUGUCUUGUGCCUCGGGGAUAAAGUUUUGAUAGAAGUAGCAAAGGAACGAACCGCGACAUCGAUAUGGGCAAAGUUGGAAUCUUUGUAUAUGACAAAGUCUUUGGCUCAUCGGCAAUUCUUAAAGCAACAACUCUACUCAUUUAAGAUGGUGGAGUCGAAGACCAUCAUGGAGCAACUUACGGAGUUCAACAAAAUCCUAGAUGACUUGGAGAAUAUUGAGGUGCAACUUGAGGAUGAGGAUAAAGCUAUACUCUUGUUGUGUGCUCUACCGAAAUCUUUUGAAUCGUUCAAAGAUACCAUUCUCUAUGGCAAAGAAGGCACUGUUACCUUGGAAGAAGUUCAAGCGGCUUUGAGAACCAAGGAGUUGACCAAGUCCAAGGACUUGAGAGAUCAUGAACACGGUGAAGGCCUUAGUGUCUCAAGAGGGAAUGGUGGAGGUAGAGGUAACCGGAGAAAGAGUGGUAACAGGUCAAAGCCUGAAUGCUUUAACUGUCACAAGAUGGGUCACUUCAAGAAGGAUUGUCCGGAGAUUAAUGGUAACUCCGCACAAAUUGUCUCAGAGAGUUAUGAGGAUGCAAGUGCUCUGAUGGUGUGGUGUUGUUUGGAGGAUGAAGAAGGUGAUGUGUCUCACCUUGGGAUUGAUGCCUAGUGGAGCGGUAGUCGUCUGGAGAGACGUUAAACACUCAACAUCAGCCUGGAGAGGCGGUGGUAAGAAUACUCAUGAUCUACCUGUUGAGGUGGAGUUUCAAGGUUGAAGACAUAGUGGGAUGUACGCAUUUGCUAGUUGAGGUAGAGUACACUCAGCGUGAGGUGGAGUUGAACACACCGGUAAUGGUACGACUAUGAAGGACCUUGUGUGCUAUGCUCUAUGGUGAGCAAGGGAUUUCUUCAUGAGGUUGAAGAAUGUUUAGCACGGCUUGUGAGAUUAUCCUAAAAGAAUGCCAAGGGUGAUUGGAUGCAAGGUGAUUCUUCAAGGAGGCAGAAGAUGUCCUGCGCUGAAGAUGUUAUGGUGAAUGCUUGUGGGACUACCUAAAAUUCCUAGCGUAGUUGGACUGCAAGGACCUUCGAGAAGGCGGAAGAUAUUCCGAGGGCUGAAGGGGGUUAAGGUGUAUACUUGUGGAUUACUCUAAAAGCCAAGGGUGAUUGGGAACAAGUAGAUCUUCAAGGAAGCGGGAGAUAUCUCGAAUUGAAGAGGGUAUGGUAUAGUCUUGUAGAACUAUCUGAAAUUCCUAGCAUAGUUGGACUACAAGCAUCUUCGAGAAGGCGGAAGACAUUCUGAUGGCUGAAGAGGUUAGGGUGUAAACUUGUGGAGUUACUUGGAGUAGUGGGAAGCAAGGGAAAUAGCAGCAAGGAGGUUAAUGAUUGGCAUCGUCACUGAUUUGAAGUCAAGGUGGAGAAUUGUGAGAGUUAACUCUUAUAAUCAGGUUUCUGCAUAAUCAUGGCACGAUUGAAGGGCAACGUGGCACGAUGGAUGUUUUAGUUUUUUAGGCAAGGCACUGGAAAAAUCAUGGCACGAUGGGGUCGCAUCGUGGCACGAUGGUGCGCUGGCAGAUAAAAAUAAAACGUAUUUUUGGGUACAGAUUUGUUACAGAUUUUAAGCAGAUUUGUUACAGAUUUUAAGCGAGACUUUUACUAUAAAUAUAGACCUUUUAUCAGAGCAGAGAGAGAGAUGGAGUGUUGAUUCACCUUGGAAACACUAUUAGGGUUGAGUCUCUUGGUUACGGGAAGUGAUUGGGGCUUUGGGUAGAAUUAGGCGGGAGACUUAUUCUUGUAACCCAUUGAUUUCUCUUUGCAACGUUACUCAUCAUAUAGUGGAUCGGAGGGCUGCUCUCUCCCCCAGACUAGGUCAAUUUGGACCGAACUGGGUCAACAAAUUCUUUUGUGUUCUCUAUUCUUUUUCUUCUUGCUGCUGUUGUUUUCUACUUUUGGCUUGUGAUUAUAACUGUUCCAUACACUUUGUUUGGUUGCUUGUUUAUCCCUUGCUCCACACAUCAAGUUGUUAUUGGUGUGAUUUUUCUCGUCGAAUUCGCAACAUAUAUGAUAGAUUUUGUUUCUCUUUCUUACUCUUCGGUCUUCAUACAUAUCUUGAUAUUUUUUGAAUGUUUUUGGAAAGACAUGGGCUCAACUUACUCUUCGGUCUUCAUACAUGUCUUGAUAUUUUUUGAAUGUUUUUGGAAAGACAUGGGCUCAACUUACUCUAUUGUUUAGAUUGGUCAAAUGUUGUAGCUCGAUUUUUUAUUUAUGUAAUGUUUGUUUUUCGUUUUUCUUACUAUAUUAUUGUCUUAUUUUAUGAUCAUCGUGUGCUUAAAUAUUUGAUUUUGGUUCAUCUUCACUUCUCCAAACAAUUCUAGGGUGAUAUUUUUUAGGCUUAAUUACAUUUUUGGUCAUCUAACUAUUUAGUUGGUAUCGGAUUGGUCCUCUAACUAAAAAUUGAUUUAUUUUGGUCCUCUAAGUUUCUCACCGUUACUACAUUUAGUCAUUUCUAUUAGUUUUAUUCAAAUAAACGUUAGGGUUUGUGUUAUAUGGGUACCUGACCUCCUAUUUCACACAUACAUAUGAACCAUAACAAUUACCAAAAAUAUCCGUCACUAUUUAAUCAUAAUACCUUAACAAGGAAUAGGACCAAAAUGAUGCUAAUAAAUAAAGUUAGAGGACCCACAUAACACAAACCCUAACGUUUAUUUGAAUAAAACUAACAGAAAGGACUAAAUGUAGUAACGGUGAGAAACUUAGAGGACCGAAAUAAAUCAAUUUUUAGUUAGAGGACCAAUCCGAUACCAACUAAAUAGUUAGAGGACCAAAAAUGUAAUUUAGCCUUGUGUAUGAUAGUUUUUGUUUCUCUUUCUUACUUUUCAUGUCCUAAUCUUUUCUUUUACAAGAUAUGGACUCAACUUACUCUAUUGUCUAGAUUGGCUAAAUGUUUUAGUUCGACUUUUUAUUUAUGUAAUGUUUGUUACUCUAUUUUUCUAGAUUUAUUUCCAAUGAUAUUACUUAAUGUCUAUCUGACUAAUUUUUCAUGGGAAUGAUAUGAUAAAAGAGGCUUCAAUUUUUUCUUUUGUAAAAUAUCCUCCUUCAUUUUGUUGCAAUCGAAGACACAUAACAACAUGUUUGUUGCAUAAACUUUUUCCUCUUCUAAAAUAUCUUCCUUCAUUUUGUUGAAAAAUCAACAAGAACCAUGAAAAUGUUAUGGUGCCAUUGUUAACUCCCCUGAUCAUUUAGAUAUACACACAUAAGUAAGACAAUAUUUUAAGAAUUAAGAAUACAAAUACCAAAAUUGGUCUCUGCCUCCAAUAAUGAAGCACGUACAACAGACAAACUCGGAUACGUCAAAGAGUUGGAGCAACAAACAAUACUUGAAAUACUUCAUUUCAGAAACAAAUAACCUAUGAUAAAAAAAAACAUAUCCCAAUUAGGAUGAUGAGAUAUCAGGAAAUUUCAUAAUAGAUUACUUCAAAAAAGCCAUCUCUAUCGAGACGAUUUAACUUCGUUCUCCUUACACAGUACACACUAACUAGACCAAUCUGGUAAAUCCAACUUAGCUUGAAAUUUUGGUGAAAAAUCUUUCAAGCAUUCACACAUUGAAACACCAUUAAUAUUGCAGCCAUCAAAAUCCUUCACGCUCGUGCAAAGGACAAGAAACUGUAGGUUCCCAAUUUUCUGCAUAUCUUACAAUGGAAAACAUUGUAAAUUACCAAGUAGUUCAAGCACAAAUCUAGUAACAUGCUCAUUCAAAUUUGAUGAAAAUGGAGUUGGAUAAAAUGUAAUCUUUUAAGUCUUCUUUGCAUCUCUUGAAAUUUUUGUUCAGUUGACAGAGGAAAAUCAGGAUUCUCAACUAAAUUGAAAUCAUCCUCAUUGUUUUCACUGUAGACAUGUAUGACAGACGACUUGAGAAUCCUCUUAGUGAUCCAGUCAUGGUAAACCAUGCCCCGUUCAGAAUCAUAUGGCAUGAGAUGUUCAAUCUCACAUAAAAUCUCCACAUGGUUCCACUCAUUCUCUGAGAAUAUACCCUCCUUAUUGCAUUGUAGAUCACAACAAAGCUUUUGGUGCGUCUUUCUUUUUAUAUAAUAUAUGUAUUCAGAUGAAGUAGAGAGUUGCUUAGUGCCAUUGAUGAGUACAUUCAACUUGAAAUCCAACACCACGUUGUCAAACAGCUCUCCAAUUUCAAAAAAACAGCAUAGAGCAAUCCUGGGGAACUUUUUUCGAAACCAAAAAUGCACUGGCGAUUCGUUGCUUCUACUAACUUUAUCCAUAAUUAAUCUCGCACGAUGAAUCGGGUGACAAAAGAGACGAUAACCAAUAUUUUUGAGUUUAUGCCCAUCUUGAUUCCACGAAGGACUACAUACUUCUAUGACAUUGUUGGUACUUACAUUAAGAGAAUACACAUUAAGGAAGGACUUCCCGUAUUCAUUAUAAACACACAUGGCAUUUGCAGACACUUUUGGACCAACUUUUUCUACAACAUUUGAUGAUCGAAAUCCGCUAACCUUAUUCGAUAUUACUAUCUCAGAUUUUGGCAAUACGUAGCUUGGUAUCUGAAUCGUCCUUUUGCAUCUCCUCAAAAACAAACUUUGGAGCCCAACUAGAUUUCCAAUUGUAAAAGGCAAUUCGUAUAGGUUAGUCUCAUCUAAAUAAACAUCUUUUAUAUUCUCCAUCACUCCUAGUACUUCUGGGAAGCUCUCAAGACGCGAGCAACCUCUAAGAUCUAAUGUCUCU
rnacentral:lncRNA from 1 species